rnacentral:lncRNA from 1 species
AAAGCAAAACAAAAGAAGUAAACAAAACCGCAAAAAGAAAUAAAAUACAAAAAGAACAUAAUUUAAAUAGGAAAAGAAAACAAAAAAAAAACGUGAAAAAAGUGGAAAAAAGAAACACAAAUGCUUCAAAAUGGGUUUCAAACCCUCACCAUUUGAAAUAAGGAAGCAUGCUGUGGCCAUUGAACCAAAGGCCCACUUUUGUAUUUAUUUGUCUAAACAUGUUAUAUAUAACAUAUUGAUGCGGGUCGGGUCAAAACAGGUUUGACCCGUCGCAUAGCA